GAUGAACGCUGGCGGCGUGCCUAAUACAUGCAAGUCGAGCGAAUGGAUUAAGAGCUUGCUCUUAUGAAGUUAGCGGCGGACGGGUGAGUAACACGUGGGUAACCUGCCCAUAAGACUGGGAUAACUCCGGGAAACCGGGGCUAAUACCGGAUAACAUUUUGAACCGCAUGGUUCGAAAUUGAAAGGCGGCAUCGGCUGUCACUUAUGGAUGGACCCGGGUCGCAUUAGCUAGUUGGUGAGGUACCGGCUAACCAAGGCAACGAUGCGUAGCCGACCUGAGAGGGUGAUCGGCCACACUGGGACUGAGACACGGCCCAGACUUCUACGGGAGGCAGCAGUAGGGAAUCUUCCGCAAUGGACGAAAGUCUGACGGAGCAACGCCGCGUGAGUGAUGAAGGCUUUCGGGUCGUAAAACUCUGUUGUUAGGGAAGAACAAGUGCUAGUUGAAUAAGCUGGCACCUUGACGGUACCUAACCAGAAAGCCACGGCUAACUACGUGCCAGCCGCCGCGGUAA
rnacentral:rRNA from 1 species